GAUGAACGCUAGCGGCAGGCCUAAUACAUGCAAGUCGAGGGGUAGAGGGGAGCUUGCUCUCCUUGAGACCGGCGCACGGGUGCGUAACGCGUAUGCAACCUACCUUCAUCAGGGGGAUAGCCCGAAGAAAUUCGGAUUAACACCGCAUAAAAUCACAGAACGGCAUUGUUCAAUGAUCGAACAUUCAUGGGAUGAAGAUGGGCAUGCGUGUCAUUAGCUUGUUGGCGGGGUAACGGCCCACCAAGGCGACGAUGACUAGGGGAUCUGAGAGGAUGGCCCCCCACACUGGUACUGAGACACGGACCAGACUCCUACGGGAGGCAGCAGUAAGGAAUAUUGGUCAAUGGAGGCAACUCUGAACCAGCCAUGCCGCGUGCAGGAAGACUGCCCUAUGGGUUGUAAACUGCUUUUAUCCCGGGAAUAAACCUCCCUAACGUGUAGGGAGCUGAAUGUAACCGGAAGAAUAAGGAUCGGCUAAC
rnacentral:rRNA from 1 species